rnacentral:rRNA from 1 species
GACGAACGCUUGCGGCGUGCUUAACACAUGCAAGUCGAACGGAAAGGCCCUGCUUUUGUGGGGUGCUCGAGUGGCGAACGGGUGAGUAACACGUGAGUAACCUGCCCUUGACUUUGGGAUAACUUCAGGAAACUGGGGCUAAUACCGGAUAGGAGCUCCUGCUGCAUGGUGGGGGUUGGAAAGUUUCGGCGGUUGGGGAUGGACUCGCGGCUUAUCAGCUUGUUGGUGGGGUAGUGGCUUACCAAGGCUUUGACGGGUAGCCGGCCUGAGAGGGUGACCGGCCACAUUGGGACUGAGAUACGGCCCAGACUCCUACGGGAGGCAGCAGUGGGGAAUAUUGCACAAUGGGCGGAAGCCUGAUGCAGCAACGCCGCGUGCGGGAUGACGGCCUUCGGGUUGUAAACCGCUUUCGCCUGUGACGAAGCGUGAGUGACGGUAAUGGGUAAAGAAGCACCGGCUAACUACGUGCCAGCAGCCGCGGUGAUACGUAGGGUGCGAGCGUUGUCCGGAUUUAUUGGGCGUAAAGGGCUCGUAGGUGGUUGAUCGCGUCGGAAGUGUAAUCUUGGGGCUUAACCCUGAGCGUGCUUUCGAUACGGGUUGACUUGAGGAAGGUAGGGGAGAAUGGAAUUCCUGGUGGAGCGGUGGAAUGCGCAGAUAUCAGGAGGAACACCAGUGGCGAAGGCGGUUCUCUGGGCCUUUCCUGACGCUGAGGAGCGAAAGCGUGGGGAGCGAACAGGCUUAGAUACCCUGGUAGUCCACGCUGUAAACGGUGGGUACUAGGUGUGGGGUCCAUUCCACGGGUUCCGUGCCGUGGCUAACGCUUUAAGUACCCCGCCUGGGGAGUACGGCCGCAAGGCUAAAACUCAAAGGAAUUGACGGGGCCCCGCACAAGCGGCGGAGCAUGCGGAUUAAUUCGAUGCAACGCGUAGAACCUUACCUGGGUUUGACAUGGAUCGGGAGUGCUCAGAGAUGGGUGUGCCUCUUUUAGGGUCGGUUCACAGGUGGUGCAUGGCUGUCGUCAGCUCGUGUCGUGAGAUGUUGGGUUAAGUCCCGCAACGAGCGCAACCCUUGUUCACUGUUGCCAGCACGUUAUGGUGGGGACUCAGUGGAGACCGCCGGGGUCAACUCGGAGGAAGGUGGGGAUGACGUCAAGUCAUCAUGCCCCUUAUGUCCAGGGCUUCACGCAUGCUACAAUGGCUGGUACAGAGAGUGGCGAGCCUGUGAGGGUGAGCGAAUCUCGGAAAGCCGGUCUCAGUUCGGAUUGGGGUCUGCAACUCGACCUCAUGAAGUCGGAGUCGCUAGUAAUCGCAGAUCAGCAACGCUGCGGUGAAUACGUUCCCGGGGCU